CCUACGGGAGACAGCAGUGAGGAAUAUUGGUCAAUGGACGAGAGUCUGAACCAGCCAAGUAGCGUGAAGGAUGACUGCCCUAUGGGUUGUAAACUUCUUUUAUAUGGGAAUAAAACGUUCCACGUGUGGGAUUUUGUAUGUACCAUAUGAAUAAGGAUCGGCUAACUCCGUGCCAGCAGCCGCGGUAAUACGGAGGAUCCGAGCGUUAUCCGGAUUUAUUGGGUUUAAAGGGAGCGUAGGUGGAUUGUUAAGUCAGUUGUGAAAGUUUGUGGCUCAACCGUAAAAUUGCAGUUGAAACUGGCAGUCUUGAGUACAGUAGAGGUGGGCGGAAUUCGUGGUGUAGCGGUGAAAUGCUUAGAUAUCACGAAGAACUCCGAUUGCGAAGGCAGUUCACUGGACUGCAACUGACACUGAGGCUCGAAAGUGUGGGUAUCAAACAGGAUUAGAUACCCCAGUAGUC
rnacentral:rRNA from 1 species